GAUGAACGCUGGCAGCGUGCCUAAUACAUGCAAGUCGAGCGAACGGACGAGAAGCUUGCUUCUCUGAUGUUAGCGGCGGACGGGUGAGUAACACGUGGAUAACCUACCUAUAAGACUGGGAUAACUUCGGGAAACCGGAGCUAAUACCGGAUAAUAUUUUGAACCGCAUGGUUCAAAAGUGAAAGACGGUCUUGCUUUCACUUAUAGAUGGAUCCGCGCUGCAUUAGCUAGUUGGUAAGGUAACGGCUUACCAAGGCAACGAUGCAUAGCCGACCUGAGAGGAUGAUCGGCCACACUGGAACUGAGACACGGUCCAGACUCCUACGGGAGGCAGCAGUAGGGAAUCUUCCGCAAUGGGCGAAAGCCUGACGGAGCAACGCCGCGUGAGUGAUGAAGGUCUUCGGAUCGUAAAACUCUGUUAUUAGGGAAGAACAUAUGUGUAAGUAACUGUGCACAUCUUGACGGUACCUAAUCAGAAAGCCACGGCUAACUACGUG
rnacentral:rRNA from 1 species